rnacentral:rRNA from 1 species
AUAUUGCACAAUGGGGGAAACCCUGAUGCAGCAACGCCGCGUGAAUGAUGAAGGUCUUCGGAUUGUAAAGUUCUUUUCUAAGGGACGAAGAAAGUGACGGUACCUUAGGAAUAAGCCUCGGCUAACUACGUGCCAGCAGCCGCGGUAAUACGUAGGAGGCAAGCGUUAUCCGGAAUGACUGGGCGUAAAGGGUGCGUAGGUGGUUCAGCAAGUUGGCAGCGUAACUCCGGGGCUCAACCUCGGCACUACUGCCAAAACUGUCGAACUUGAGUGCAGGAGGGGCAAUCGGAAUUCCUAGUGUAGCGGUGGAAUGCGUAGAUAUUAGGAGGAACACCAGUGGCGAAGGCGGAUUGCUGGACUGUAACUGACACUGAGGCACGAAAGCGUGGGGAGCAAACA